rnacentral:rRNA from 1 species
AUUGAACGCUGGCGGCAGGCUUAACACAUGCAAGUCGAACGAGUGGCGGACGGGUGAGUAAUGCUUGGGAAUCUAGCUUAUGGAGGGGGAUAACUACGGGAAACUGUAGCUAAUACCGCGUACCAUAGGAUGAGCCCAAGUGGGAUUAGGUAGUUGGUGGGGUAAAGGCUCACCAAGCCGACGAUCUCUAGCUGGUCUGAGAGGAUGACCGGCAACACUGGGACGGAGACACGGCCCAGACUCCUACGGGAGGCAGCAGUGGGGAAUAUUGGGAAAUGGGGGAAACCUGACGCAGCCAGGCCGAUUGAUUGAAGAAGGCCUUCGGGUUGUAAAUUUCUUCCGGUGGGGAGGCUUUACCAUCAGAAGAAGCACCGGCUAACUCCGUGCAAGCAGCCGCGGUAAUAC